UGACAAACAACAAUUGCAAUUGGCCCAAAGCAAAAGCACCAAAACCUAAAGUACGUUUGAUCUCUUCAGCCGCCAAUCCCGCCGCCACAUCCCCUUCCCCACUUUCCCAAUUCUUUGUUCAACCAUGGCUAGACUAAAAAAUGCGAGAACGACAAAGAAGAAGAGUGAGAGAGAAUCCCAUAGCUUUUCUAUUCUUGAGCAGAAGAGUGAGUGAAAAUUUGAAGAUUUUGAAGUGAUAAUUUUGGGAGGAGCCAUAGUUCAUGGACUGUAACAGCAAAGCAACAUUACAAAAUUGGGAUGAAGAUCCUUUAAGAAGUUUAAAAGGCACUUGUGUUAUGGGCAUCAAUGUAGAAACAAACAAGUGGAGUAACCAUGAGGUUGGUAGUCCUGCACAUUGCCGUCUUGAUGGAUCAGGAGGUGGCGUCACCGGGUGAGAUAAUCAUGGAGUGCUAUAAGAUAUUAUUUACUGCGCCCUUCUUCUUGUGGAUCUUCUUCUUGAUAUCCACAAGAACAAUAAUUUCUUUCACGCAUUUGGUACAAAUACAAUCCAUUAAUGUCUCUCAACUCGCCAUCAGAACCUGGUAUUAGAAAAGCAUUGGAGCACUUCUGGGUUUUCACUUCUCUUCAUUGUCGGCUGAUGUUUACCAUCACUAUCCAGUUUCACAUUAGCUAGCUUUUUUUUUUUUAAAACUUUAUUAUUCGUGUUGUAAAAGAGUUAUGUACCGUAGAUUUGUAUGAAAUUAUUCUUUCUCUUGUAAAAGAACACCGUUACGUUUUGAGUAUAUCAAUAUUUUAAUUUAUUUUGAA